rnacentral:snRNA from 1 species
AUCGCUUCUCGGCCUUUUGGCUAAGAUCAAGUGUAGUAUCUGUUCUUAUCAGUUUAAUAAAUAUAUGUAAAUGUAUGGAUUUAAUAUAUAUUCUCUUCUGCCUAU